CGGUGAUGAACACAUUUAAGCAGGGGUGUAAGCAGCUCUCAGUUGAAUGGAGUCAGAGCUCCAUCUACUGGGCAAAUGGUUCAAGGACAUUUUACAUUGCCGACACAAACGUUAUUUCAGUAAUUGUUCUGUUCAUGAGAAAUUAUCAGCGUUCUGUCGGCAAAAAUUUUGGCCGAUAGGGAGUACUUUGAAAAGGGCUUAUAUCAGCCGAUAAUAUUGGUCGGGCUCUAAAAAUUUCCAAUACAACCUGCGGAGUUUUCCGAUCCAGGAGCCAUGUCUGUUUUUUUUUGUUUUUUUUUCCCUGCUGAAACGUCUCCAGAAGGAAUUUCCUGCUGGUUGCCUCUGGCUGCAAACCACAGAAGAGACCUCCCGAAUGGAGGUGUGCCCUAAUGAGACAUGAAGCAAUGAGACACGCCUCUGUUCAGGAAAUCCUCCCCACAGCCUGCAUCUAGCGAGUAGGCGAGCCUUAAUAUAAGCAGCACUGGAGCUGGCGAACUUUUCAUCACAUGUCCGCUGUGUGGAACACCGCAAAGCAAGGCAGCAAUGUGCAAUGUUUGCAGAGCUGUUGUACCAAGAGGUGGAAGCUACAAUACAGCAAACUUAAACAUUUGAAAAAGCGCCACAUUAAAGACUGUGAGGAUUUUUUUAGCCAGGACCAGAAAGAUAAAAGGAGUCGAUUUAAAUGGGGUCCGCCUCCCAUGUCUGUCCAGUUGGCCAAAAAUCCAGGGCUCUGGCCUUGUGGCCAGAGAAUCCUUUAAAUGGAAUGUGAGGUUUACUGACUACUAUUGCACAGCGAUUCCUGCUGGCCUCUGUCACAUAUCCACUAUAAUUAAAAGCUGGUGAGUUUAUAGGGAUUUCCAUCCUUUAAAUUCUUAAGUUUUUUUUAUGUUAUAAAAGAACACAACAUGUGCUGUCAGGUGACAGUUUGAUCAGCCAGAUGUGUACAGACAGCAAAGACCACACUGUCACUUUGUGUUUGAUCACUUUGAGAAAUUAAAUAGCUUAUUCUGAAUUAACAAAACUCACCUUUGUGCAAGAACAUAUGGAGGAAUAAAAGUGCCAAAAUUUAAUAAAUAAAUUCGUCAUUAAAUAAUUACUUAAAUGUGUCAUUAAUUCAUUAAAAUUGGAAUUAAAUAUAUAAAUAAUAAUUUCACUAUUUUAUUAUUUCAUGGUCAAAAACAUGUAAUUAUUUCACCAUUUAAUUAAUUACUUCAUGGUCCUUGUGUUGCAGUGCAUCAUGAAUUUAUUUUAUCUGUCAAAGUUGGCCAUCAAAGUCAGUGGGCGGAUUUCUAACACCUGAUUGGUUACCCUGCACAUCAAGUCACUGCAAAUUUAUUCCAGAUAAUGGAUUGAUGUAGAGCUAGUGAACACAUUCCUAUACACUGGGUGGGGCUAUUCACCUCUACGAUGGUUUAGAUACUCAAAUUAACUUUAUUUGCAACCACUAAAAGGCAAGGUCCUGCUGGCCCCAGUGUGCGAGAGCGUGCCGUGCUGCUCUGCAGUUCCAGCAAACGGGCAAUUCCCAGGUUUGUUGGCAACGAAGAAUUAAACUGAGUGCAGAAGGAACUGUGGAAUCGAGAUUAAUAGGGGGAAACAGCAUGGGUUGGUGACCAAAAACAUGACCAACAUAACCGGUGGAAACUGAGGGUAAACUGUUAUGAGCAAGUUUGACCCAAGGAAGCUGUUCUGACCAUGAUGCGGGAUGGCAGGAUGCGAGAAUCUGGAGCCCCUUUUCCAGUUCCUGGUUAAGCCGUUCCGUCUGCCCAUUGGCCUGUGGAUGGUAGCCCGAAGUGAGACUACAUGUUACCCCGAGGAGACGGCAGAACUCCCUCCAGAAAUGAGAUGCAAAUUGUCGACCCCGAUCAGAAACAGUGUCUUGCGGCAACCCGUGUAAUUUGAAAACCUGGUUUAACAUAACUUCAGCGGUCUCUUUAGCGGAUGGUAAUUUUCUCAAUGGUAUGAAAUGGACCAUUCUGGAGAGACAAUCUACAACAGUCAUAACUACAGUGUACCCUUUUGAGGAUGGAAAACCGCUCACAAAGUCCAACGUGAUGUGGGUCCAUGGGCGAGCCGGGACAGGCAACGGCAACAAGGCACCUGCAGGUGGACAGUUAGAAGAUUUGUGCAUGGCACACACUUGACCAUGGCACGCACUUGACGGGCAGUGAUGUAUUCAGUGACAUCCCUCGCGAGACCAGCUGUACCUCAGCUUUCACUCAUUCCUGAGUGACAGAAGUGUCCUAAAGAAAUAGGUGAGAGCUUAGAACGUGACGAUCGCUCUGCUCUGACUGUGGAGAAGCCGCUGUGUGAGGACGAAGUGGUGACUACAGCCGAUCCAGCUGCGACAACACAACACGGAACACCUUUCGGCUCCUCAGCCAGGUGCAGUGGAUGCUGCCGACAGCAGCUGGGGCUGAAGUAAAGGAGCUGGUUAUGAAGAUUAAACCACCCUUCAAGAUGACAGCACAGCUCAGCAAAGAAGAUUCUCUGAAAACCAGAGCAAUCACCUGACUUUGAAUCCUUGUGGAAGGGAGCCAUUUGCAGACUGAAGGAGUAUCGCAUCUGGGAACGCACUCUUCCUCUGAUCUUGUCUGGAACAGCCAACCAGCUGUGGACCAACUGCUGUGUGAUGACCAACUUCCAGGGAUAACUUGAUAUGAAAGUCUAUAUUCCUGCUGAAUAAAGCAUAAUUUUUUUUGUCUUCUU